CCUUCUUGCUUUUGUUUAGUUUUUCACUCUGUUUAUGCUCUUUCUUCUAUUCCAGAGCUGAAAGGCUUAGCACAAUGUGGGAAUGACAAGAUUGUUCUCCAGGGCCAGGCAGGAAUACCUGGAAUUCCAGGUGUGCCAGGAACAAAUGGUCUUCCUGGAGCCAGGGGUGAGCCAGGACCUCAAGGCCCCCCAGGUGAAAAGGGCUCUGCUGGGAUACCUGGAAAAGCUGGACCAAAGGGAGACAAAGGAGACAAAGGAAACAAUGGGGAACCCUGCCGCUUAGAAGGCUGUCAGCGGGAAGGU
rnacentral:lncRNA from 1 species